UUGCUAAUGAAACAGGAUGGAGCAGUAUUCUAGUCAGUACUGCCGGUUCUAAAGACGGGCCUAAAAAUCCGUUUAAGGGCACAUCGAUGAAGUUCCUGGUGUCGGCUUGUUACGCCCAGUAGUGGGCUGGUGCUGGGAGUUAAGGUUUAGGGGCGAUCUGCAAUGGCAUGCGGGCGUUGACCCCUCUACCGUGGAGACCCUAUUUCGUGGAAGACAAUGACAUUAGUGUAAAGCUAGUCAUAUGCCAUUUAAGCUACUACGGGUAGGGAGUAAACCUGUUAUGCGGUACAGUAAGUGCUGUGAACAGUGUAGCCUGCCUUGAGUGGUGUUGGUGGAUAAUGGUCAGGUGUAGAAGUAUUGGCCGAUACAUAUACACUAUAGCAGUUUGAAACCAACAUUGCAAAAGAGGCUAGGAAUCGGUUAGACUGCUGGGGAAAACCCCUAGACUGUUCUGAUAAGAGAUAUGUUGGGGAUUGAAGUGUGGACUAAGUGGUAAUCAGGCCCCAUAAUUGGUGACAAUAUGGCUGUGGGCUUAAAGGGAAACCGCUGAUUUGGCGACAUUUCAGUGGCUACAGUGGAAAUCAAGCCUGACCUAAGCCGCAAAAUUUACUCAACAUAUUUCCAUCCUGUAUUAUACAUAA
rnacentral:sRNA from 1 species